AUAAAAAUUUGAUUUCAAAAAAAUGAAAGGGAACAAAAACUUUUGCUUAUAAUUUACUCGGAGAAUGGCUGGAUUCAUUUGACCGUGUACAGUUUUGUUUAUAAUUAGUGAAGAGAUGAAAAUAAUGAAACUGUAUGGUGCAGAAAGUGUUUUUUUCAUUGCAGUUUCUGCUGCUGGGAAAGCGGUAGAUCACUAUGGCUUCUGUACCGUGAAAUGAAGCUUAUGAUAAAUAAAAUACUGCUGCUUGCUGGUCACUGAUUGAAGAUCGUUCAGUGGCUACCAUUGGCCAAUCUCACCAACGGGAUAUAAUAAGAACUGAUGCAGGUUUAUAUCGAUUCGGAGCAAAGUUAGUACAGUUUUUAAACCGAUGUUGGAUUUUUCUCCAGAUACAGGCAACCCACUUAACUUUGGAAGUAGUGCGCUGGAUUCGUCUAAA